rnacentral:rRNA from 1 species
GUUUCAUUUAAAUUUAUUAUAGAAUUUUAUUUUUUAGUUAAAAAGCUAAAAUAAUUUCAAAAGACGAGAAGACCCUAUAAAUCUUGAUUAUUUAAUAAUUUUAAAUUUAUUUAGAUUUUUUUUAUUUUUAAUUAUUAAAUAAUUUUAUUGGGGUGAUAUUAAAAUUUAAUAAACUUUUAAUUUAUACAUUUCAUUUAUUUAUGAAUUUAUGAUCCAUUUAUAAUGAUUAAAAAAUUAAGUUACUUUAGGGAUAACAGCGUAAUUUUUUUGGAGAGUUCUUAUCGAUAAAAAAGUUUGCGACCUCGAUGUUGGAUUAAGAUUCAUAUUUAAAUGUAGAAGUUUAAAUAUAAAGUCUGUUCGACUUUUUAUUCUUACAUGAUCUGAGUUCAAACCGGUGUAAGCCAGGUUGGUUUCUAUCUUUGAAUCAUAAAAAUAUUUUAGUACGAAAGGAAUAAAUAUUUAUUUUAUAAAAAUUUAUUUAUGAAU